AUUGAACGCUGGCGGCAUGCCUUACACAUGCAAGUCGAACGGCAGCGCGGGGCAACCUGGCGGCGAGUGGCGAACGGGUGAGUAAUAUAUCGGAACGUACCCAAGAGUGGGGGAUAACGUAGCGAAAGUUACGCUAAUACCGCGUACGAUCUAUGGAUGAAAGCAGGGGAUCUUCGGACCUUGUGCUCCUGGAGCGGCCGAUAUCUGAUUAACUAGUUGGUGAGGUAAAGGCUCACCAAGGCGACGAUCAGUAGCUGGUCUGAGAGGACGACCAGCCACACUGGAACUGAGACACGGUCCAGACUCCUACGGGAGGCAGCAGUGGGGAAUUUUGGACAAUGGGCGCAAGCCUGAUCCAGCAAUGCCGCGUGAGUGAAGAAGGCCUUCGGGUUGUAAAGCUCUUUUGUCAGGGAAGAAACGGCUGAGGCUAAUAUCCUCGGCUAAUGACGGUACCUGAAGAAUAAGCACCGGCUAACUACGUGCCAGCAGCCGCAGUAA
rnacentral:rRNA from 1 species